rnacentral:rRNA from 1 species
UACGAAGGGGGCUAGCGUUGUUCGGAAUUACUGGGCGUAAAGCGCGUGUAGGCGGUUGCCCAAGUCGGGUGUGAAAGCCUUGAGCUCAACUCAAGAAAUGCACUCGGUACUGGGUGACUAGAGGACCGGAGAGGAUAGUGGAAUUCCCAGUGUAGUGGUGAAAUACGUAGAGAUUGGGAGGAACACCAGUGGCGAAGGCGGCUAUCUGGACGGUUUCUGACGCUAAGACGCGAAAGCGUGGGGAGCAAACAGG